rnacentral:misc_RNA from 1 species
GAUGAAGAACGUAGUGAAAUGCGAUAAGUAAUGUGAAUUGCAGAAUUCAGUGAAUCAUCGAGUCUUUGAACGCACAUUGCGCCCCCUGGUAUUCCGGGGGGCAUGCCUGUCCGAGCGUCAUUGCUGCCCUCAAGCCCGGCUUGUGUGUUGGGUCUCGUCCCCCUUCCCGGGGGGACGGGCCCGAAAGGCAGCGGCGGCACCGUGUCCGGUCCUCGAGCGUAUGGGGCUCUGUCACCCGCUCUGUAGGCCCGGCCGGCGCUUGCCGAUCAACCAAAACUUUUUUCCAGGUUGACCUCGGAUCAGGUAGGGAUACCCGCUGAACUUAAGCAUAUCAAUAAGCGGAGGA